UUUUACUCACUCUGUAACUCAUUGUCAUCCCCACGAUUUCUCAAUUAUUAGUUAGUGAAGAAACCUUAGAUUUCACUUCUGCAUGCCAGUACUUAACUAUCGUUGGUAAUACCCAUGUGUUAACCAAAUUUCAAAAUACGCAUGCAACGUUGCCCUCUGUUUAUGUCCUUAUUUAGAGUUUUUAUUGACAACUAUGUGCCUCCAACCAUUGAGUAUAUAUCUUGGUAUGUAUUCAUUACUCAUUUUAAUUGAUAGUUGUGAACUCUAUCUGACUCAAAAAUGGUCUAAAAGGGCUUAACCCUCAAAUUCUAAGCUGUCCACGUAGGCAAAAAAU
rnacentral:lncRNA from 1 species